GCAUAUCAAUAAGCGGAGGAAAAGAAACCAACAGGGAUUGCCUCAGUAGCGGCGAGUGAAGCGGCAAGAGCUCAGAUUUGAAAUCGUGCUUUGCGGCACGAGUUGUAGAUUGCAGGUUGGAGUCUGUGUGGAAGGCGGUGUCCAAGUCCCUUGGAACAGGGCGCCCAGGAGGGUGAGAGCCCCGUGGGAUGCCGGCGGAAGCAGUGAGGCCCUUCUGACGAGUCGAGUUGUUUGGGAAUGCAGCUCCAAGCGGGUGGUAAACUCCAUCUAAGGCUAAAUACUGGCGAGAGACCGAUAGCGAACAAGUACUGUGAAGGAAAGAUGAAAAGCACUUUGAAAAGAGAGUGAAACAGCACGUGAAAUUGUUGAAAGGGAAGGGUAUUGCGCCCGACAUGGGGAUUGCGCACCGCUGCCUCUCGUGGGCGGCGCUCUGGGCUUUCCCUGGGCCAGCAUCGGUUCUUGCUGCAGGAGAAGGGGUUCUGGAACGUGGCUCUUCGGAGUGUUAUAGCCAGGGCCAGAUGCUGCGUGCGGGGACCGAGGACUGCGGCCGUGUAGGUCACGGAUGCUGGCAGAACGGCGCAACACCGCCCGUCUU
rnacentral:rRNA from 1 species